AUGAAUUGGAAUCGAUGGGUUACUGACAUUGCCCGAGGUCUGUCUACGGCCGGGCUGGUGCAAUAUGUGCACCUCUGGGAAGCGGUUGUCAUGGUUCGGUUUAAGCAUUGGCGGAUGUACAGGGUGGCCAGGAGGGAAAAAAACAGCCCAGUAGCUUAUCCAGGACGAACGCAUCACGGCCUGUCCAAGCACGAGCAGAACCCUCGUCUCGCCCCCCUCGUAUAUCAACUCCUCUAUGGCUCUGCCCGACCUAGACACCCAGACGGCCAGCCGCCUCGCCGUCCCGGCAUCGCCGUUCCUCGCGGCUUCGCCGGUCGCCAGCCGGAGCCCGGAGUUCAGCCGCCCAGGAGGCUCCCGCCUUUUUCCUGCUUCCCGCCCGGCCGCCCUCCCGGCUCCCGGUCUAGCCGCGCCCCUGCUGUCCCGGCGUCCCGCCGGCCCGGCCGCCCCCUGCAAAUCCCCACCACGGUGGCAGGCAAACCCCUGACCGAUUUGAGGACCAGCGACAUUGUUUCUCUUUUCCAGAGAGAAGCUAUUAAUACAGGGAAGAAGAAGAAGGCAGGGAAUGUGCCGCAUGUUGCCGAAGAGCAAACCGGAGAACUGUUAGAACGUUCACAUGUUAAAUUGGGACGGACCACCCUGGUCUCAAAUGCUAGCUCCGCCACUGGGUUUAAGCAUAACUCCGACAAUGAGGCAAUCUGGAAUUGGAGCAAGGCCUUAAUAUACACGUCAUCAUCUACCUAUCUAAUGUUUACAUCUUCUCUAGGCAGGUAUGGCACCGAUGUCUUCAUGAGUUGCAGGUGCUGCUUCAGGUGGCCAUCUCUAUUUGGGGUGGACAACCGUGAUUCUUGUUGGACUAAGUCCAGGACCCUAUUGCCAAAAGCCAAACGUAGGGUUUUUUAUUCUCUUGUUAUGCUUGCUUGCCGGAGUUUGUGGAAACAACAUAAUGUUAGCCAACUUAGAGAUGUGAAAGAGACUAGUACGCCGAUCAUUGCUGAAUUUCAUCUUUGGGGCAUGGCUAGAGUGAAUGGGCCUGUGAAAACAUCGCACAAACAUGCUGAAGAGGAAGAUUGUAGUUACCAGUGCUGCCUUGUAGUACUUAUAGAUGUCCUCCAUGUAGUCGACAGCAGUUGGUUCAUUGUGGCCAUCGAGCUUGUCGAUAUCAUCCACGUAGAAGGAUUUAAGAACACACAAGUUAAUUUCAUCCUUGGAGAGGUGCAGACUGCAAUAAAGGCUAAAGACCAGGGAGUUGGCGUUCAUAUGGCGUUAGUUUGCUGUGGAAGCAUGAAGGCCCCUAACGGACGAAGACCUGCAGGCGGUGGUGCGUGGGGGGAUCCGGCGGCGUGGCUUUCGCCCGGAGCCGAUGUGGCGAACUUCCCCACACCCCUUUUCUUCAUACAGCAAUUAGCAAAAGGACAGCACGCAGGGGCGUGGCUUAGACGGAGAGCGCCGCUGACGUUUUCAAGUGCCUUUUACUCCCGGGGCACAUGUAGUCUGUCUACCCAUUGCCAACCAUAUGCAUCCGCGCCAGCAACCCAGAGGGAACGAGUAGCCUGGCGGCCUUGCUAUACGCGGUGGCAAAAGCGGAUGACGGCGGCUUGCGAGGGAGUUGAAGGCGACUUGAAACGGCGGGGCCAGCGCGCCACGGCGUCGGAAUUAGCUAGGCCUCAACGACCGCACGAGGCCAUACUUGGCGACUCAGCCAAGGCACAAGGUGAAGCCGCGGCCUCAGCGGCAGAAUCGGCCGGCGGUUUGGAAAACCGGCAGACAGUGACAUUCUGUGGCAGAGGCGGCCGGCGGCUCGAGGCAGGCGGGUCACAGCGGCAGCGGCUGAUGGACGGGGUGGCUCAAUGGCGCGGCAACCCGGUGGCGAGCCAAAAUCCUAGGCCGGAGCCGGCUGAAGCGGCGGCGGUGAUGCAUGGGCGGCAGGUCGGCAAUGGCUCAGACAUGACCAGGGAGGAAACGAGACCGAGGCGACGGCGGCUGGGGCGGCUCAUAGACGGAAACGGCGCCUCAACUGAGACGCAUUGGAAGCCGACGCGGAGCCCAGACAAACCACAGGGUCGUGAGGAGGUCGCCGCGACGCCCCAAACCCACCGCCCGGUGCCGCCUCGCCGCGACGUCGCCACCUCCACCUCGUCGUCUACCUCGCCGGCCUGCCUCCCGCUCCGCCGCGUCAUCCCCGUCGACCACCCCGAGCCUCCCCGAGCACGUUGUCAUUUACCCUACGACCACCGUGAGCUCCGACCUCUUCUCCUCUCUCCCCCGUCCCUCGCUCGCCCAUCAAUCGCGCCGUCUGCGCCUAAGGCCAGCCCCGCACGACGGCUCCUCUCUGCUCGCCGCCUUGCUGCGUCCCUGCCUGCGCCAUUGGCCUCGACCCGUCCUCCCGCAGCCCUCCCCGCUCCGGCCGUCCUCGCUGACCACGCCUGCGGCUCCUGCUUGCCGGCCAGCGCGAGCCCGCCGCCGGCCCAGCACACCCCUCCCCCCAUUGCUGCCCCUUUUAAAGCAGACCCAUGGUGCCCAGUAUGCUUACGUACUGAUGAGGAUGGAGGGCACACCUUCUUCAAAUGCAAACCAGUGAAGCACAUAUGGAGGGCGGCUCAAAUGGAGGAUAUAAGGAAAAAUCUUAGCAUUUAUUGUAGUCCGAAAGAUGUGCUCAUUCGAAUUUUUGAGCUUGAUCAGAGGAAGAGUGCAAGAGCAAGUAUUCUUAUGUGGCUUUGGUGGCACGGGAGAAAUAAAGCUAAUAAAGGAGAGGCUAUAAGAAGUACAACUGAAAUUCUAGAAUCCCUCGAAAAGCAUGAUAGAGAAUCUGACGAGUUUUGUAAGAGGACAUGUACUGAAAAAACAAUGACCAAGGAUAGUUGUUGGAAACCGCCAGUGGAAAAUUAUCUAAAGAUAAAUAUAGACGGAGCCUUCACAAAGGACACAAAGAAGGGAGGAUGGGGUUUCAUUAUCAGAAACUCUGAAGGAGGAGUAGAAGCAGCAGGGGCAGGGAGAUUGUCAAGACUCUCUGAGGCAAUUCAAGCAGAAACAAUUGCCCUGUUACAUGUCGUGGAGAGAGCAAGUGAGUUGGGAUGCAGGAAUGUAAUCUUCGAAACGGAUGCAUUGGUGCUGAAACAAGCUAUUGACAGAGACGCCUACGAUAAUUCAGUUUUCAGUGCCCUGUUUCGAGAAGCAAAGUUUAAACUCUUGUACUAUUUUCAGUCUGCUUUUAUCAAUUGGUGUCCCAGGUCCUGUAAUGUAGUUGUCCAUAAGCUAGCGUCAUUUGGCGCGAGUUUAGUUGAGCCAGAUAUAUGUAUGUGGUUGUCAGAUGUACCAAACUUUGUAACUGAAGCGGUUGCCAGCGAUUUUGUUGGCCCGUGGGAGGAGGAAGCACCUGACUCUGCUCUAGAGCAGGCCGAACACGCUGACCUGGCUUUCCUGCUGCAGCGGGAGGUUGGUGUCACCGGCCACGUGCACAGGAAGUCAUGCCAGGACCGUAGAUGGACCUUAUUAGCGUGUACCGGGACCGUAGCGAGGCAGAUUCCAAGUUUGAGGACUGUUUUGGUCCUAGCCAGCGAGUACGAGGACGGUACGUGCAAUUUACUCGUCCUUCCACAAGGAGUUCGAUCGGGAGAGCGCUUCGUGCGCGGAUCGGAGCGGAGCGACUGGUUUUUCUGGAGUAGAGGAUUGCGAACAGGCCCUAAAUAUCGAACUAAAACCCAAACCCUAGAUCGACCCGCGAUGGAGGGAGACUACCAGCAGAGCGGCCGGAAGCGCACCACUGAGACCCACGACCACGCCAUCUGCGGCUCGUCCUCCGAUCCCGCCGCUUCCCGCCGCAUGGCCUACUUGACCGAGACCACCACGUUCGUCUCCGCCGGCAUGGGCCACGGGCAGGGGAUCGCCGAACGGGUCAGGGUCCGCGAGCUUGAUAUGGCCGGGCGCCGCCGUCUGGCCUCUGUUGUUGUUACAGAUCGGGCGCAGGGCUGCCCGCAGGGUACCUGGAGCACAACAAGGCUGGGGCCAAGAUGA
rnacentral:rRNA from 1 species